CUUUUGUGUGGGUGCUCGAGAUGGCGAACGGGUGAGUAACACGUGAGUAACCUGCCCUUGACUUUGGGAUAACUUCAGGAAACUGGGGCUAAUACCGGAUAGGAGCUCCUGCUGCAUGGUGGGGGUUGGAGAGUUUCGGCGGUUGGGGAUGGACUCGCGGCUUAUCAGCUUGUUGGUGGGGUAGUGGCUUACCAAGGCUUUGACGGGUAGCCGGCCUGAGAGGGUGACCGGCCACAUUGGGACUGACAUACGGCCCAGACUCCUACGGGAGGCAGCAGUGGGAAUAUUGCACAAUGGGCGGAAGCCUGAUGCAUCAACGCCGCGUGCGGGAUGACGGCCUUCGGGUUGUAAACCGCUUUCGCCUGUGACGAAGCGUGAGUGACGGUAUGGGUAAAGAAGCACCGGCUAACUACGUGCCAGCAGCCGCGGUGAUACGUAGGGUGCGAGCGUUGUCCGGAUUUAUUGGGCGUAAAGGGCUCGUAAGUGGUUGAUCGCGUCGGAAGUGUAAUCUUGGGGCUUAACCCUGAGCGUGCUUUCGAUACGGGUUGACUUGAGGAAUGUAGGGGAGAAUGGAAUUCCUGGUGGAGCGGUGGAAUGCGCAGAUCUCAGGAGGAACACCAGUGGCCAAUGCGGUUCUCUGGGACUUUCCUGACCUGACGAGCGAAUGCGUGGGGAGCGAACAGGCUUAGAUACCCUGGUAGUCCACGCUGGAUACGGUGGGUACAUGUGUGGGGUCCAUUCCACAAGUUCCAACCGUAGCUAAGCUUUAGUACCCCGCCUGAGAGUACGCCGCAAGCUAAACUCAAGGACUGACGGGCUCCUACAUGCGGCGACCAUGCUGAUUAUUCGAUGCGCGCGUAGACCUUCCUGGUUUGACAUGGAUCAGGAGUGCUCAGAAUGGUGUGCUCUUUGGGACGGUCACAAGUGGGCAUGCUGUCGUCAGCUCGUGUCGAGAAUGUGGGUUAGUCCCCAUAAGCGCAUCCUUGUCACUGUGCAAACGUUUGUGCGAUCACUGAUCCGCAGGGCAUUUGAGAAGUGCGACAUUCAAUCAUCUGCCCUAGUCAGGGUACCGGGCUAAUGGUGGAAGAGCGGCA
rnacentral:rRNA from 1 species